rnacentral:rRNA from 1 species
GACGAACGCUGGCGGCGUGCUUAACACAUGCAAGUCGAACGGAAAGGCCCUGCUUUUGUGGGGUGCUCGAGUGGCGAACGGGUGAGUAACACGUGAGUAACCUGCCCUUGACUUUGGGAUAACUUCAGGAAACUGGGGCUAAUACCGGAUAGGAGCUCCUGCUGCAUGGGGGGGGUUGGAAAGUUUCGGCGGUUGGGGAUGGACUCGCGGCUUAUCAGCUUGUUGGUGGGGUAGUGGCUUACCAAGGCUUUGACGGGUAGCCGGCCUGAGAGGGUGACCGGCCACAUUGGGACUGCGAUACGGCCCAGACUCCUACGGGAGGCAGCAGUGGGGAAUAUUGCACAAUGGGCGGAAGCCUGAUGCAGCAACGCCGCGUGCGUGAUGACGGCCUUCGGGUUGUAAACCGCUUUCGCCUGUGACGAAGCGUGAGUGACGGUAAUGGGUAAAGAAGCACCGGCUAACUACGUG